rnacentral:rRNA from 1 species
AGCGAACGCUGGCGGCGUGCCUAACACAUGCAAGUCGAACGUGAAAGGGAGCAAUCCCAAGUAAAGUGGCGUACGGGUGAGUAACACGUAGGUAAUCUACCCCAGAAUCUGGAAUAACAGGCCGAAAGGCUGGCUAAUACUGGAUAGAGCGACGGAAUCCGUAAUUGGGUUUUUCGGGAAAGGGAGCCUGUAAAAAGGCCUUCGUUCUGGGAUGAGCCUGCGUCCCAUCAGCUAGUUGGUGAGGUAAAAGCUUACCAAGGCAAUGACGGGUAGCUGGUCUGAGAGGACGAUCAGCCACACUGGAACUGAAACACGGUCCAGACUCCUACGGGAGGCAGCAGUGGGGAAUCUUGCGCAAUGGACGAAAGUCUGACGCAGCAACGCCGCGUGAGUGAAGAAGGCCUUCGGGUUGUAGAGCUCUGUCGAGUGGGACGAAAAUGCUUGGAGUUCACAGCUCCAGGAACUGACGGUACCACUAAAGGAAGCACCGGCUAACUCCGUG